AGUGAACGCUGGCGGUAGGCCUAACACAUGCAAGUCGAACGGCAGCACAGUAAGAGCUUGCUCUUUCGGGUGGCGAGUGGCGGACGGGUGAGGAAUACAUCGGAAUCUACUUUUUCGUGCGGGAGAACGCAGGGAAACUUACGCUAAUACCGCAUACGACCUACGGGUGAAAGCAGGGGAUCUUCGGACCUUGCGCGAGUGAAUGAGCCGAUGUCGGAUUAGCUAGUUGGCGGGGUAAGGGCCCACCAAGGCGACGAUCCGUAGCUGGUCUGAGAGGAUGAUCAGCCACACUGGAACUGAGACACGGUCCAGACUCCUACGGGAGGCAGCAGUGGGGAAUAUUGGACAAUGGGCGCAAGCCUGAUCCAGCCAUACCGCGUGGGUGAAGAAGGCCUUCGGGUUGUAAAGCCCUUUUGUUGGGAAAGAAAGGCAGCAGGUUAAUACCCCGCUGUUCUGACGGUACCCAAAGAAUAAGCACCGGCUAACUUCGUG
rnacentral:rRNA from 1 species